rnacentral:tRNA from 1 species
GCCUUCGUGAUGUAAUGAUCAGAACACUUGACUCGUAUUCAAGAAGUCCAAGGUUCGAGUCCCGGCGAAGGCA